GAUGAACGCUAGCUACAGGCUUAACACAUGCAAGUCGCGGGGCAGCAAGGGGGUUGCUUGCAAUCCCCGAUGGCGACCGGCGCACGGGUGAGUAACGCGUAUCCAACCUGCCCUUCACCACGGGAUAACCCGGCGAAAGUCGGACUAAUACCGUAUGUUGUCCAUUGACGGCAUCCGAUUUGGACGAAAGGUUUGGCGGUGAAGGAUGGGGAUGCGUCCGAUUAGCUGGACGGCGGGGUGACGGCCCACCGUGGCGACGAUCGGUAGGGGUUCUGAGAGGAAGGUCCCCCACACUGGAACUGAGACACGGUCCAGACUCCUACGGGAGGCAGCAGUGAGGAAUAUUGGUCAAUGGGCGUAAGCCUGAACCAGCCAAGUAGCGUGCAGGAUGACGGCCCUAUGGGUUGUAAACUGCUUUUAUGCGGGGAUAAAGUGGCCCACGUGUGGGUUUUUGCAGGUACCGCAUGAAUAAGGACCGGCUAAUUCCGUG
rnacentral:rRNA from 1 species